GAAACUUAUCGUUUGUCGAACCGUGUCUCGGCUAACUGCAUUUUUCGUUAUCGUUUUCGCGAGAGCUGCGUACCGCUUACGAAAUGGAAACGAAAAUUUUUUUCGCGAGCAUUUCGCGACGUUUUUUAUGCAUAGGUUUUGUAUAGGAAAUUUCAUUUCGCAAGAGGUGCAUACUUAGCUGAAGAAGGAAAAAUAUUUCGCGACCUCAUUUCGCAAGAGGUGCAUACUAAGCUUUAAGCGGUACGCAGCUCUCGCGAAAACGAUAACGAAAUUUGCAGUUAGCCGAGACACGGUUCGACAAACGAUAAGUUUCGUAUUACUUCCGCGAGAUAGCGCUGCUUUCUAUGCGCUGUCACCACGGCAAGCUUUCUCCUUGCGAAAUAAUGAUCAGUGGUAUUAUUCCGCUGCGGAGGCUCGCGAAAUUUUGACAGACUGCGAUAAAAAAUACAAAAAAACAAGAUUUGUGUAUUUUUUCAUCGCAAGCUGUCAAAAUGUCUUAAUAUAGAAUUUGCUUUUGUUAUGCAAUAUUUGAAAUUCGAAUGUAUGUAAUGAUUAUUUACAGUGCGCCCAAACAAACCCGGAUUCAGUCGCAACGGCAGAGGAUUGUACAGCUGGAGAAAGGAAAAAAAUCGUUCCGACUUACUAUUUUUCAAAACUGCUAGAGCAGUCUUUUCCGUUAGUGGUAGAAGCAGGAAACAUCGAUCUACCUCAGCAGUUUGCCUCAAUAACAACAACGUAUGACCUAGUUUACAUCCGCAACUAGUGCAAACGAUCCAAGCCAAUCAGGGCAGAUGUAGAAGACCAUUGGCCAACUUUGGCAGUUGUAGCAGCAAACAAAUCAGAACUAUGAUCACCCAUCCGCAGAAAACGAUACAGCUACAGCACCGGUCAAGUAGCAUACGAUACUGUACAAUGCCGCGUGCAGGAGAUCCUUUAAUUCAGUUGGUGCAGCAAGAUCGAGCAGCAACCAUAGCGGAUACAGAUCCAGUGGACACAUCACCGAACACCAUCAACCAUCCAGCAGAAGAACGCGGUGAUAAUGGGUCAGCAGUAAACACAACGGCAAAAUGCUUGGAAAGGACUUUCUCUCGAACAAACAUAACGGAAGCCUACACGCACGACAUGUUCAAUCGGGCCAACCGUGUGACUCGUUUGGAAAAAGCGCUCAUCAUCGGUUUCAUGGCAGCGAGAUGAGCAGACAAAAGAAGGCAUCGUUUUUUCAGCAAGGUCGCUCUGGGCAAAAUUUCUGCGAAUUGCGAGGAAUAAACCACCGAAGGGACAGUACCCGUGCUGAAUCAGGCCGUUUUCCCAUACAUUGCUGCUAUUUAAUUUUAAUACCCGGUCGAAACGAUGGCAUUUCUGCACUCACUUCAAAAAAAUUUAAUUCACCAGCGACGGUUACUCCUGUAGAAACGGCUGCACUGCAGUUUUGAGCUCGCGGUAGCUACAAAAAUUCUGACUAGCGGCUCCUGAAGAAAAACAAGCUGCAUGCGAAAUUGGAGAAACAGCUUCCUCCACGGAUGAUGCAGAGGAAUUCAACAUGGCGGAUGCAAGUUUGCAAUUGAAAAUUAUUCGCAAAGUUCAGGUAGAAUCAAAACUUGAUCUGGAGGUGCAGCGAUAGGAUCCUUCUUCGCCGCUAUACUCAGUUAAAACUUUAGAAGCUUUACACCUAAAGCCGGAACUGCUUCAGGGAGUCUGUGUUUCAACGCCCCUUCCAAGAUUCAGGAGACGGCUCUACAUACUCUGUUGGCCGAUCCGCCACAGAACAUGAUCGCCCAGUCAGUCGGUAACAGGAAAAACCAAUGCUUUCGUGCUGGCAGUUCUCAGUUGAGUCCGUUAAAAAACUCCUCAGGUGAUGUGCCUUUCCCCCACGCAUGAACUGGCAAUUCAGAAGGGGGAAGUAGCUGCCAAAAUGGCAAAGUUUUGUCCGGAAAUCAAACUUCGUUACGCCGUUCGCGGUGGGGAGAUCGUCAAAAGUGCGAAGCUGAUCAUCAGAACACCCGGCAAGCUGAUGGGCUGCAAUAUAAAGUUCCGGGCUUUCGACCUUAAGAAGAUUGCCGUUUUUGUACUGAUUUUUGCACGUUAUGAUUCAUCCGGAUACACAAGCAGCUGUCGUCGUCUUGCCAGAUGAUGUUCUCGGUCACAUACGAGCGGGAAGUGAUUGAGUACGCCGUAACCAAUCCCAUCGUGAUUCGGCUGGCGCGGGAGCAAGAAUCACUCGAUAACACCAAAAAGUACUACGUCAUAUGCCACUACCAGGACGAGAAAUAUCAAGCAAUUUCGAACAUUACCGUGAUUACCAUCGGACAAGCGAUCAUUUUCAAUCAUGAGUGUAGGACAGUGGGGAGCAAGGCGCCGGUAAACAAACAAUUAAAUGCAAUAGUUUCAGUACAAACAUCUUAUGUCAUGUUUCAACAUAGUACCCAACCCCCAGAUGUCAAAUUGUUACAUUUUGUCAUCCCCUCUAAAAGUGUUACAUAAUUUAUUAACGGUCCCUAAAUUUAUGUAUUUCAACAGCAGCUUAUACAGAUCAUGAAUAUGUAUAGAAGAAGGUGUUUUAUGUUUUAUUUAAAAAAAAUUCAAAACCCUCCGCCUCUGUUGGUCUUAUUAGGAAGGAGCCGCAGUUCGCAUCAAGUUAGGCACCAAAAUCCAGGCACCAAAUUUUUUUUUUUGGUAUUCCCUUUACCACCGGUGGAGCCACUAUGGAAAAGUAGUGAAAGCUUCAGGCACAAAAUUUUGGUGUCAAGUUAGGCACCCAAAUUCAGGCACCAAAUAUUUUUUGCUGUUUGUCCUUAGAUUUAGAUUGUAAUUAUUUACGAUAUGCUGUACAAAAUCGAAUAUGUACUAUAUGGACCUCAAAA